CCUGAAGUUAUCUCAGUCUUGACUACUCUUUGCAACGAUCCCUGUAACACUGUGUUCAUUGUUAGUGGGAGGGGGAGAAGUUCUUUAGGUCAGUGGUUUGUCUCUUGUGAGAUGUUGGGGAUUGCAGCGGAACAUGGGUACUUCAUAAGGUAUUUGAUCGUAAUGUUCUAUUCACGCCAAGCUUCUUGUUGUGCAAGUUUGCUGGCGUCGAAUUCUUAAGCUUCUUACUUUUUUGCAGGUGGGGUGGAACUUCAGAAUGGGAAACUAGUCCACUGUCUUCUGAUCUUGAUUGGAUUAAAAUUGUAGAGCCAGUGAUGAGAUUAUAUACGGAAGCAACAGAUGGCUCGUGCAUAGAACAGAAAGAAAGUGCUUUAGUCUGGCACCAUCAAGAUGCUGAUUCUGACUUCGGAUCCUGUCAAGCCAAGGAAUUGCUGGACCAUCUAGAAAACGUACUUGCCAACGAACCAGCCGUUGUUAAAAGAGGCCAGCAUAUUGUUGAAGUGAAACCACAGGUAAAUCGAACAAGUGACAUUUUUAAGGUUAAUAAUUAAGCAACAUAGCAAUACUUUUAAAGAAUUGCAGAUAUGGUUAAAUUCAUUGGUCUAUAGUAUUAUGAGAGUUGAUCUAAAUUUUACUGUUUAUGUGUUUUUUUAAUUUUUUGCAUUGUGCUAUAUUUGAUAAUACUUCAGACGUGAUAUAUAUCUCAUCAAAUUAGCAUGCCUCCAGUGGAAUAUCUUCUUGAAUCUUGAGCUGUUUGUUACUUACUCGCAGGGAGUAAGCAAAGGGUUGGUCGCAGAAAAGGUUCUCUCAAGAAUGGUGGAUAGUGGAAGACCACCUGAUUUCGUGAUGUGCAUUGGAGAUGAUAGAUCAGAUGAAGAUAUGUUUGAGAGCAUAUUAAGUACCGUCUCCAGUCCUUCACUCCCUUCCGCUCCAGAAAUCUUCGCCUGUACUGUUGGACGAAAGCCAAGCAAGGCUAAGUUUUACCUCGAUGAUACUUCCGACGUCGUUAAAUUGCUGCAAUGCCUUGCCUCGUCGUCACGUCCAAGACCCCGACAACUACCACAGAUGCGUGUUUCUUUCGAGAGUGUUUUCUAAAUUGAGUUGCAUCACUGGAGUGCUUGGUGCUUCUUCUUACACAGAAAUUGAUAGAAGCCAAACGAGUUGAUGAAGG
rnacentral:lncRNA from 1 species